UGGGGAAUAUUGGACAAUGGGCGAAAGCCUGAUCCAGCCAUGCCGCGUGUGUGAAGAAGGUCUUCGGAUUGUAAAGCACUUUAAGUUGGGAGGAAGGGCAGUAAGCGAAUACCUUGCUGUUUUGACGUUACCGACAGAAUAAGCACCGGCUAACUCUGUGCCAGCAGCCGCGGUAAUACAGAGGGUGCAAGCGUUAAUCGGAAUUACUGGGCGUAAAGCGCGCGUAGGUGGUUCGUUAAGUUGAAUGUGAAAGCCCCGGGCUCAACCUGGGAACUGCAUUCAAGACUGGCGAGCUAGAGUAGGGCAGAGGGUGGUGGAAUUUCCUGUGUAGCGGUGAAAUGCGUAGAUAUAGGAAGGAAAACCAGUGGCGAAGGCGACCACCUGGGCUCAUACUGACACUGAGGUGCGAAAGCGUGGGGAGCAAACAGG
rnacentral:rRNA from 1 species